UACGUAGGGUGCAAGCGUUGUCCGGAAUUAUUGGGCGUAAAGAGCUCGUAGGCGGUCUGUUGCGUCGGCCUGUGAAAACCCGGGGCUCAACCCCGGGCCUGCAGCCGAUACGGGCAGGACUAGAGUUCGGCAGGGGAGACUGGAAUUUACGGUGUAGCAGUGAAAUGCGUAGAUAUCGUAAGGAAGACCAGUGGCGAAGGCGAGUCUCUGGACAGCAACUGACGCUGAGGCACGAAGGCCAGGGGAGCAAAACGGG
rnacentral:rRNA from 1 species